CUUUCUUAUGUAAAUUCGCGGGAAAACGAUAUUCAACCACCCAUGCAUAGCACUUUCUAUUAUACGAAGAAUUUCCAAACCGUCUCUGAUGGCAUCACAACUCUUGAAAGGUUCUACCAAAAAGCCAUAAUCUAUACCACGGUUCCAAUUCGUUUUCAUGUUCAGCGACGCAUUAGUUUAGAGUUCGACCUCAAAAAGAAAAAUUGUAAUCGUGUGUGACUGGAUAUUCCUCGGGUCGAUGCCUUACUUUUGCCCCGAAGACAAUUGCUACCGUCUAGUCCUUCCGCAUUGGGGAGGCAACCAACCUUUAGGGUAGUAAGAUAAGUGACACGACAAAUUUGCAUCUACCGCGCGUCUACGGAAUGUCCGAUAAUGCGCACAAUUUUCAAUAUACAAUGCUGUUGUGUCAGCACAUGCUCACCCUCAAUUACGAAUUGAACGAUGAUGUCCUGUAGUAUAGUAGGUUCACGGUUCUUUUCCGCGAGCAAAAUGUUUUUUUUUUCCAUUAUAUUAUCUUCGAAACGAUACAGAGAACAAAAUAAAAAAAAAAA